rnacentral:tRNA from 1 species
GAGAGAUGGCUGAGUGGCCGAAAGCGCUCGCCUCGAAAGCGAGUAGGCGGGUAGCCCCGCCUCGUGGGUUCGAAUCCCACUCUCUCC